rnacentral:rRNA from 1 species
UACGUAGGCAGCAAGCGUUGUUCGGAAUUACUGGGCGUAAAGAGUGUGUAGGCGGUGUGCUAAGUUUGGUGUGAAAUCUCCCGGCUCAACCGGGAGUCUGCAUUGAAUACUGGCAUGCUCGAGGGUGGGGAGAGGUAAGCGGAAUUCCUGGUGUAGCGGUGAAAUGCGUAGAUAUCAGGAGGAACACCUGUGGUGUAGACAGCUUACUGGACCACUUCUGACGCUGGAGACACGAAAGCGUGGGUAGCAAACAGG